rfam:Stomoxys calcitrans breed 8C7A2A5H3J4 unplaced genomic scaffold Scaffold588, whole genome shotgun sequence.
GGUGGAGUUCUUUUAUGCGUUAAAUACUUGUAUUUGCGCAUAUUCCUCCUAUUUAAUCCUGCUUCAGUGCUCUUCACCGAGUGUUCUUGUGGGCCGGUACAAUUACUUUGAACAAAUUAGAGUGCUUAAAGCAGGCUUCAAAUGCCUGAAUGUUUUGUGCUUGGAAUAAUGAAAUAAGCCUCUACCUACAAUCUACAACCAAUGAAAGUAGAACUUUCAUUGGUUGUUAGAUCAACAGGUAAUGGAUAAUAAAAGCAGUUUGGGGGCAUAAGUAUUACGACGUGAGAGGUGAAAUUCUUGGACCGUCGUACUACAAACUUAAGGGAAAGCAUUUGCCANUUAAUUUUUUCUU